UCCCCCCCUCCCUCUCCCCACCUCUUCCCCCCCUUCCUCCCUCCCUCUCUGCCCAUCUGUCUGUCUUUCUCCCCCAUCAUAUAUAUAUAUAUACUCCUGUAUAUGUGAAUAUACUAUAUAUUUUUUUCUUCAUAUAUAUCUAUAUAUAUCUGAGCUCUUCCAGCAGUCUGGAUUAGAUGCCGAUUUCUUCAUCCCAGGGACCCAUCUCUGUGCCUUUAUCUCUGCCCACCUUUCACACUGUGAGAUGUGGGGGAAAGGAUUUCCCUACAGAAUGUAAACCACCUUUUAGUCCUUUUAGUCCUGUUCCAGUGGCUUGAGGAAAAGAGUACACCAGGAGCCCCCUGCCAGACUCCAUUUCCCCAGAUCCCUUUUCCCAUUUUUGCCCAGUCUUUUAGCCGCCUACCCUCCAGUCGUGGACCCAGCUCUGAGGCUUUGUGGGUAAUCUACAAGUAUGCCCAGCUUUGCUCAAAACAAGUUCUACUGGAAAGAUGGGAACAAACCAGCGAGAGGGAAAGAAGGAGGGACUGCCUCGUAGCCCUGAAAUGCACGCUGCACUUCCAUCUGUCCACUUGGCCACCUGCUUCUCUCUCAUCGGUGCCAAGUCCUGCCAGCAUCGGCAGGGUCACGUUGGUAGGGAGAGAGAUGUCUGGGGGCAAGUGAGACCUUCGACUCCACUGAAGCAUUCCUCAGCUGAUGGUACACGUCUCUUAGAUGAGAUCUUUUAUGUUACUUCUUACCUGCCAUAUGUCAUUGUCUACGAAUGGCCAGCAGGCACUUCUCUGCCCAUCGCUGAAUGCCCUGUGAUCUGCAUUUCUUCAGAGUCUCUUGCAUUCUGUGACUCACAUCAUAUAGCAUCACCAGGAGAAUAUUGGUUUUUAACCAUCUCAUCCUUUGUUUCAAGAGAAGCUCAAGGUGCAGUGCAUUAUGCAAAAUGCCAGACUGGAUGAAUCAAAAGCCAGAAUUGAGGCUGCCAGGAAGAAAUAUCAACAGUCUCAGAUGCACAGAUGACGCCACUCUGAUGGCAGAAAGUGAAGAAGAAUUAAGAAGCCCUUUAAUGAGGGUGAAAAAGGAGAGUACAAAAGUUGGCUUGAAGCUUAACAUUAAAAAAAAACCGCUAAGAUUUUGGCUUCACUUUCUGGCAAACAGCAGGAAAGAAAUGGAAGCAGAGUCAGAAUUUAUAUUCUUAGAGUCAAAGAUCACUGUCGAUGGUGACUGCAGCCAUGAAAUAAAACACAUUUGCUCCUUGGAAGGAAAGCUAUA
rnacentral:lncRNA from 1 species